rnacentral:rRNA from 1 species
AGAUUGAACGCUGGCGGCGUGCCUAACACAUGCAAGUCGAGCGGUAACAGGUGUAGCAAUACAUGCUGACGAGCGGCGAACGGGUGAGUAAUGCUUUGGAAUCUUCCCAGUAGUGGGGAAUAACCAGUCGAAAGAUUGGCUAAUACCGCAUACGUCUGUAAAGGGAAAGCGGGGGCUCGUAAGACCUCGCGCUAUUGGAUGAGCCAAAGUCGGAUUAGCUAGUUGGUGGGGUAAUGGCCUACCAAGGCGACAAUCCGUAGCUGGUCUGAGAGGACGACCAGCCACACCGGAACUGAGACACGGUCCGGACUCCUACGGGAGGCAGCAGUGGGGAAUAUUGGACAAUGGGGGAAACCCUGAUCCAGCGACGCCGCGUGUGUGAAGAAGGCCUGCGGGUUGUAAAGCACUUUUAGUGGGGACAAAAGCUACGGAUUAAUACUCUGUGGUCUUGAUUUAACCCAAGAAAAGCACCGGCUAACUCUGUGCCAGCAGCCGCGGUAA